rnacentral:rRNA from 1 species
AAACACUGCAGUCGAGCGGGGAAGGUACUACACCUAGCGGCGGACGGGUGAGUAAUGCUUAGGAAUCUGCCAUUUAGUGGGGGACAACAUUCCGAAAGGAAUGCUAAUACCGCAUACGUCCUACGGGAGAAAGCAGGGGAUCUUCGGACCUUGCGCUAAAUGAUGAGCCUAAGUCGGAUUAGCUAGUUGGUGGGGUAAAGGCCUACCAAGGCGACGAUCUGUAGCGGGUCUGAGAGGAUGAUCCGCCAACACUGGUGACUGAUGACACNGCCAGGACUCCUACGGGAGGCAGCAGUUGGGGAAAUAUUUGGACAAUGGGGCGGAAGCCUUGAUCCAAGCCCAUUGCCGCGGUGUUGUUGAAGAAGGGCCCUUUUUGGUUUGUAAAGCACUUUUAAAGCG